UACGGGGGGGGCAAGCGUUGUUCGGAAUUACUGGGCGUAAAGGGCGCGUAGGCGGCUUACCAAGUCAGGCGUGAAAUUCCCGGGCUCAACCUGGGGGCUGCGCUUGAUACUGGUGAGCUUGAAUGCGGGAGAGGAUAGUGGAAUUCCCAGUGUAGAGGUGAAAUUCGUAGAUAUUGGGAAGAACACCGGUGGCGAAGGCGGCCAACUGGACCAUUUCUGACGCUGAGGCGCGAAAGCGUGGGGAGCAAACAGG
rnacentral:rRNA from 1 species